CCGUCGCGUUCGCUCACGUUAUUAUAACGCCCACGUACUCGUUUGUACGUGCCUCGUUUGCCGCCGCGCAAGUACGUUCCCUUCAGACCAUCGCGAUAUCCAUCCUGUACGGCCAUACGAGCGUGCGUCCCCUUUGCCGUCGUAACGACUAACCGUUCGGGCAAUACGAGUGAGCGUUUUUCUUCUGCCGCAAACAUUAUCGGCCGACAGUCGUAAUAUACUCGCUGACGAUUUCGCCUACGAGUUGCCGUGCUAAGACAUCCAAGCCCUGGACUUCAUAAAUAUAGGUACAAUUUAAAAUGCGACAUGUCAACAUUCAACAAAACUUUACACAAGUGGUUGAAGCUGAUGAAUUCCUAUCACUAUCAUCUGAAAAGUUACUUAAGUUCAUCCCCAGUGAUGAGCUUACGGUGCUAUCUGAAG